UACGAAGGGGGCUAGCGUUGCUCGGAAUCACUGGGCGUAAAGCGCACGUAGGCGGAUUGUUAAGUCGGGGGUGAUAUCCUGGAGCUCAACUCCAGAACUGCCUUCGAUACUGGCGAUCUUGAGUCCGGGAGAGGUGAGUGGAACUCCGAGUGUAGAGGUGAAAUUCGUAGAUAUUCGGAAGAACACCAGUGGCGAAGGCGGCUCACUGGCCCGGUACUGACGCUGAGGUGCGAAAGCGUGGGGAGCAAACAGG
rnacentral:rRNA from 1 species